ACGUGAGAGAAUGGUUACCGCGGCUGCUGGCACGGAGUUAGACGGUGCUUCUUCUGUGAGUGAUGUCCUUCCUGCCGGUUAUUGACCCGCAGGCCUUCUUCCUCACUGAAAGUGCUUUACAACCCGAAGGCCUUCUUCACACACGCGGCAUGGCUGGAUCAGGGUUGCCCCCAUUGUCCAAUAUUCCCCACUGCUGCCUCCCGUAGGAGUCUGGGCCGUGUCUCAGUCCCAGUGUGGCUGAUCAUCCUCUCAGACCAGCUACGGAUCGUCGCCUUGGUGAGCCGUUACCUCACCAACCAGCUAAUCCGACAUAGGCUCAUCCGAUAGCGCGAGGCCCGAAGGUCCCCCGCUUUCCCCCGUAGGGCGUAUGCGGUAUUAGCCUGGGUUUCCCCAGGUUAUCCCCCGACUACCGGGCAGAUUCCUAUGCAUUACUCACCCGUCCGCCGCUCGCCACCAGGGAGCAAGCUCCCCGUGCUGCCGCUCGACUUGCAUGUGUUAGGCCUGCCGCCAGCGUUCAAU
rnacentral:rRNA from 1 species